UUGCACGUAGUAGAAGGAUAAUACGUUGGUUUUAGGUUCCGAAGGAAGGCAUUUGUCUCGUGCAAU
rnacentral:tRNA from 1 species